GUCACUGGCGGCGUGGGAAUGCUGAUGAUUGCUGUGGUGAUCUGGCUGCUCUGGCAGUUCAGGGAUGCUGGCUCGUCUACACGCAUGUUCAGACUGGAGCGGCUACAGGAAGGAAGGGAGGACAGAAAGUUAAGGGGCCUCUCCAUGCUGCAUGUGUCCAUCCCCACCAGGAUAAAGCUUGACCUGCUGACCCCAUCCCGCCCCAAGAGAGAAAGAGAGUCGCUCCCACCAAACCUCCUCCGUCACUGAAUGGCACAGAAGAAGCCAGACUGCAGGAAUCAACAGUGGGGGGAAAAGAAG